UAAAUGUAAAUACUUUAAAUUAAAAAAAAUUAAAAGGAAAGCAUCUGCUUGGAUCUGUGAAAGAAGUAAAACAAAACUUUGACUUUUUAAAAAGAAAAUAUAUUUUAAGAAAUUUGUGAAGAUUAGAUGACAGUAUAGAUGAUUUGUCCAGACUUCACUUAUAUAUAUUCCAUUCUCUAUGAAAUAAUUUUUAACAAAUGUAGCAAUAGUCAUAGAAACUCUUUGAAAAUAAGUUGCUGUGACCUAGUCUCAAGUAAUAUAACUUUAAAAGACUACAGAUUCUACCUCUGCAGCUUGUGUUUUUAACCAUGUUUCCUUAUGUUGUAUUUUUCUCCCUGUGUGAUCUGCCUGUUUUCUUUCAGUGAUUCCUCACUGGAGGUCCAUGGUUAGUUUUUCUUAGGCUCAUAAGGUUUUGUUGUUUUGUUUUGUAAAUUUUAUCAUGGUGAGGAUCACAUUACACUGGUGUACCAGGAUAGGAUGAACUAAGCCUUUUUAUGUUACAUGCAACUUUGUACUGUGAUCUUUUCACUUUACAUUUUCUCAUAGACAUUUUAUCAUGUUGCUCUGUUCUCUUCAUAGUUAUAUUUAAGGAAUGUGUAGUAUUCCAUUGGAUAGUGGUUCCAUAAUUUAAUCAUUUUCUUAUUUUUUGGCAUAUGGUCACUUUUGGCAGUUUUAUAAGCAGUAAUGUAGUAAGCAUUUUCAUACAUACAGAUUUGUCCAUAUUUUGUUUAGGAUAGAUUCUCA
rnacentral:lncRNA from 10 species